CACUUUCACUGGGUUGCCCUCGAAUGAUGGAUUGCCUUUUCUAUGUCCCUUCUUGGAUAAUUUUGGUAGCUGACAGAAUAAGCCACUCCACUUUCCCAGAAUGUUUUGGUGCUUUUUGUUUGUUUUGUUUUUCAGGUGAUAGAAUGCCUGCAGCCAUGAGUGUCCAGCCUGCCUGUCUCUCAUAGCAUUCUUAGUCAAUCAAACACUAUUUCAGAUUUGCUGAGGUCAAGCCUGGGAGACUGAAGAGUGGCUUUCCACACAGACUAAUGAAGGUCUGCGGAAGACAAAUCUCAAAUGCCCUUCUUAGUUAUUCCGUCUGAAUUGCAGGAAACCCUGAAUGAUGAACAACCUUCAGGAUCAGUCAACAGGAACCAGCUAUAGAGAUUGGUUUUGUCUAUUUCUCUUUUUGACCUCUUGUGGACUGAAUAGGGCUUCCUUCCCUGCUUAGAAGAACUUUCAGUAGAGACACUGAUCUGAAAAUCAGAGGCCACAGUAGAAGACU